rnacentral:rRNA from 1 species
GAUGAACGCUGGCGGCGUGCCUAACACAUGCAAGUCGAACGAAGCACUUUGUUACGAUCCCUUCGGGGUGACGACUUUGUGACUGAGUGGCGGACGGGUGAGUAACGCGUGGGAAACCUGCCCUAUACCGGGGGAUAACAGUUGGAAACGACUGCUAAUACCGCAUAAGCGCACGAGAUGGCAUCAUCUAGUGUGAAAAACUCCGGUGGUAUAGGAUGGUCCCGCGUCUGAUUAGCUAGUUGGUGAGGUAACGGCCCACCAAGGCGACGAUCAGUAGCCGACCUGAGAGGGUGACCGGCCACAUUGGGACUGAGACACGGCCCAAACUCCUACGGGAGGCAGCAGUGGGGAAUAUUGCACAAUGGGCGAAAGCCUGAUGCAGCGACGCCGCGUGAGCGAUGAAGUAUUUCGGUAUGUAAAGCUCUAUCAGCAGGGAAGAACAAAUGACGUAC